AAAGAAAGCACAUGCGGCCACUGUCUCAUUUUAACAUAUUUCUUAAAACACACCUGAUACUUUUACUGUUAAUAAUAAAAUAAACAAACAUUAAACUAACGGUUUAGUAUGCAAAUAAGCAUAAAUGCUUCGAAAUUGAUGAAGGAAAUAUAUACUGACAUAUAAUGUUUAUAUUAAUCCCGUAAUGACCGCUAUUUUAAUAAAAAAAGAAUGCUCCGCCUUAAAUUCCUAUCCUUACUUUACAAAUAAUUAAAAUGAAUGAAAGUGUAGCAAUAAAGGUCCAACACAAUUGCAACUCCUUCAGGUAAUAUGUAUGAACCUAUCCCUCAGUAUAAUGUUAGUUAAACAUUACAUUCCCUUAAGACUCCUCUUGAAUGAUGGUUUAAACAACUCAUGAGUGAUGGCAUCUGAAAAGUGAACGAGAAGAUUACAGAGAAAUUGGGAUUCCCCAAUCAGUUUUAACAGAUACACUCAUUGCUUAUAAAGUUAUAAUAAGAAGGAAAAUUUUUAAAUAAAUAAACUAGUUGUCAAGCGUUUUUUACUCAUCAUCCGAAUCGACAUCAACUGAAUCAGAAUUUUCAGACGAACUUUUUUCGAUUUCGGUUUCAUCUUCUGACUCAGUGUCUAGAGCACGAGCAUCAAAGCUGUUUUUAGAAAAGCCCAAUUUUUUGGCGAACAAAUUCAACUCAUUUGCAAACUAAAACAGAGGAUAUUAGAACCUUUUGAAAGAAGUAAUUAAGAAACAUCGAUAUUGACUUACAGCAUCAGUCCCAUCCUUCUUGGGUUGUUUACGAUUGGGUUCUUCGAAUUCCAACUCUUCAUCGCUUUCUACAUCUUCAAUCAGCUCCAGAUCCUCUUCGGUACCUCCGAGUUCUUUAAUAUCAUGGAGUAAACCAUACGAUUGCUUUCUUUUCCGAUUCGCUUUAGGCUUUUCCAAUGAUGAUUUGGGUUCCUUAGGACCAACGGAACUUUUAUGUUUAUCAAUAGUUUUGUUUUCCUCUGUUUUGUUUUUUAGUGAUCUAGCAGAAGAAUUUUCCACAACUUUUGAAUUUUUUUUCAUGUCCCUCUCGACGACAUCCUUGAUAUCUGAAAAUAAAGACAAAUCCAUAUUAUGAUUUAUGUCAAAUAAAAUAAAUACAAUCUUUUGUCGAGUUUAUCGAUUAUUAGAGGAUGUGAAAAUCCAAC